AUGUCACAUUGGCUCUUUAUUGUGUUUCUAAGGACACUGAUGGGUUGGGUUUGCAUACAACGCAGUAUGGACCAACAAAGUGGUCUCAUUGCAAGGUCACUACCUGGACGUAUAGGCAAGAAAUGUCAAGAGAGGUGGCAUAAUCAUCUGAAUCCAGACAUACAGAGAGAUGCUUGGACUACUGAGGAGGAACAUGCACAGAUUAAUGCCCAUCGGGUAUAUGGGAAUAAAUGGGCAGAAAUAGCAAAAGUUCUUCCUAGAAGACAUCUGGACAUUGCAAGAAUGGGUACUUCCAUUUGUGUAACUUCUGUUUGUUAUCAGUUCUUCUCACCUAUAGCUAAAAUCAGUCAUCUUAAUCUUCUUUUGUAA
rnacentral:rRNA from 1 species